AUGCAAAGUUUCACAAAAAAUACAGGGGCCAUUUCCUACGCUAAGUUCCAUCUUCAUCAUCUUGCCUUCAUGAUCAUCUUAUCUCCAUGUAUGCUACACUGCCAAUGUUACAAAGGUGCACUGAACCUGCAAGAUUCCAAUAAUAGCUCACUCCAAAACCAGCGACCCAAUGCCCUGUUCCAAACAGACCCAAAACCAGAAAAUAUAAACUACAAAACCAGUUUCCCAGUUUCAUCGGUUCACUGCGUAACAGAAAUUGAGAGGAAAUAUAAAAUCAGCAACAUGUGGAAAUAA